UGGGAUAAAGCUCAGCGGCGCAGCACCUGCCUGACAAGCACGAGGUUCCGAGUUCGAGUCCCGGUACCUGAA
rnacentral:tRNA from 1 species